rnacentral:lncRNA from 1 species
AAGUUAUAGAGCAUUGAAGAUAACACAUGUAAUUCAAAGGUACUAAGUUAUUUUAUUGAUAGUAAUGGCUGGAGCCAUAUCUUAAGCUACCAGAGAAAUUUUUAGUUCAAAAUUUCCAAAACUUUGUGUCAUUAAGUUAAAAAGCUAUAUAUCAAACUUUUAUGAUAUUUGAAUAUUUAGUUUGUAAGAUAUAAAGAAAAUUUCAUCCAAGUAUAUGUAAACAAAGAUUUGAAGCUACUGUUAGGAUUUUAGCAAUAUCUUAAGAUCCAUAACAAAUUUUUUUUUGAAAUUUAUUGUCGUAUUUGUUAAAGUAUAUUAAUAUUCCAUGUAAAAUUUUGGUUUAUUUGAAUAGUCCAAUCAUGAGAUAUGAGUUGUUGAAGUUUGGAAAAAAUUCACUUUAAGGAUA